AUUCUUUUAUACUCUAAAUUGUUCUCAUUCAUGGUUUUCUUUCAUUUGUGUGGCAUUGCCAUGGCCUCAGGUGUUGAGUUUUGGCUUUUGUGGGAUAUAUUUAUGUGGUUCAUAGCUGCUUUUUUAAUGUAAUAAUUGUAAGCAAUUCCACGAAUAUUCCUAUCACCCAAUGUUCCAAGGCACUUGAUAUAAGCUCAAGAAGUAAAGGACCAGAAAUCUUACAAAUAUCUAAAUAUAAAAGAGUUCUGAGAUACCCAAUCCUAAAUAUGUAUGAGAAAAAACAUCUUAAAAUAUGCAAAGCCAGAAGCUAGUCUUUAGAAAAUUCUUUCAGGAAUCACAUGUGAAAAAUUAUAAGCAGAAGAUUUGACUCUCUUUAAAGCAUGGUCAACCCAGAAGUUCUCUCCUGACAAGAAUAUUUAAAGAAGUGAUCAAAGAUUGUACAUCCAAACCUCUAGAGAAAAAUGUGUCUGAGUGGUUUAUCAGGAAAUUAACUAUUUAAAAAAUUGUGCCAUUUUUUUUCAUUUUUCUAGAUAUUUUCAAGUUUGUGGUGAAUCAUUAACUUUUUUAAAAAAUUCUAUUUUGUAGUUAUUUUUUCUCAUUCUAAAUGAAUAUUUUAAUAUGUGAUUUUAUACCUGUAAUUUUCUACUUUUUAAAAACAAUGAAAAUUUUAUCGAUAUUUGGUUUUCACAAGACCUGAAGCUACCUGCAUUUAUCCUAGUGUUUUUUUACACUUCACGGAAUGAGUAUUGACAUCAGCUGGUGGACAUGUCCUAGAGCUCCCAGCACUACCACUGUGUUGAUGAUUCCAGCUAGACAUUUCUCGUCUGAGCUUCUUAUAGAUGCCAUGUAGUGCCAGAGCACUUGGAUGUACAGCCCUGAAGAGUUGCAGGAUGCAAAGGAAAGAAGCAGUGCCUCUAGGGAAUUGUGACUGCUGGUGCAAGACCUGUGAAAUCAGGGGAAAUAAAAGGUGAAGAGGACUAUAGAACAACCUAUGGCAGAGGACACUUAUAAUAAGAAAAACAAAGCACUAGAGAGAAAAAAGUAGGGAUUCUCGGCCAAUUCAGCCACUUACUUACAACAUUCAUUUCAUGAAAUAUGUUUUCUUGUCUACAAAUCUAGAAAACUCCCAGUUAUGACAAGGGAAAAAUGCAAUUAUUAAGCAUGAAAAUAAAUUACUACACAAAAGCAUAGACACUGUUAUUAUCAUUAUCUUUAUCAACUGCUGAGUUUCUGAAGAGUCCACCAAAGUAACCAGUUGGUCAAGCAAAGAUGUAAAGCAAA
rnacentral:lncRNA from 1 species